rnacentral:rRNA from 1 species
UACGUAGGAUGCGAGCGUUGUCCGGAAUUAUUGGGCGUAAAGAGAACGUAGGUGGCUUCUUAAGUUCGGUCUUAAAGACCGGGGCUCAACCCCGGGAAUGGACUGAAGACUGGGAGGCUAGAGGAUGUCAGAGGAUGGUGGAAUUCCCAGUGUAGCGGUGAAAUGCGUAGAUAUUGGGAGGAACACCUGUGGCGAAGGCAGCUCGCUGGGACGGUACUGACGCUGAGACGCGAAAGCGUGGGGAGCAAACAGG